rnacentral:rRNA from 1 species
GUCAGCUCGUGUCGUGAGAUGUUGGGUUAAGUCCCGUAACGAGCGCAACCCUUGUCCUUAGUUACCAGCACGUAAUGGUGGGCACUCUAAGGAGACUGCCGGUGACAAACCGGAGGAAGGUGGGGAUGACGUCAAGUCAUCAUGGCCCUUACGGCCAGGGCUACACACGUGCUACAAUGGUCGGUACAAAGGGUUGCCAAGCCGCGAGGUGGAGCUAAUCCCAUAAAACCGAUCGUAGUCCGGAUCGCAGUCUGCAACUCGACUGCGUGAAGUCGGAAUCGCUAGUAAUCGUGAAUCAGAAUGUCACGGUGAAUACGUUCCCGGGCCUUGUACACACCGCCCGUCA